rnacentral:rRNA from 1 species
UACGGAGGGUGCAAGCGUUAUCCGGAUUCACUGGGUUUAAAGGGUGCGUAGGUGGGUUUGUAAGUCAGCGGUGAAAUCUCCGAGCUUAACUCGGAAACUGCCAUUGAUACUAUAGAUCUUGAAUUUUCUGGAGGUAAGCGGAAUAUGUCAUGUAGCGGUGAAAUGCUUAGAUAUGACAUAGAACACCAAUUGCGAAGGCAGCUUGCUACAGGAAUAUUGACACUGAGGCACGAAAGCGUGGGGAUCGAACAGG